GUUGCAUGAGAAGGUACAUGCUGAACAUCCUCGAGAACCUGGGGGAUGGUCAGAAAGUCAACUAUGACAUUAUAGUCAGCUGGGUAAACCAGACCCUGAAAGAAGCUGGCAAGUCCAUCUCCAUCCAGAACUUCAAGGUGCAUGUUCCCCUCUUGCAAUCAGAAAGAACACAAGCUUACAAGUCGUGGAUUUAAUUGAAGCUAUUCAAACAUCAAGCAUAGCCUCACCUGAUUAUUACUAAAAAGCAAAAAAGGAAGAGGAAUGUCCUUUGUCACCCC